UACGAAGGGGGCUAGCGUUGCUCGGAAUUACUGGGCGUAAAGGGCGCGUAGGCGGAUAGUUUAGUCAGAGGUAAAAGCCCAGGGCUCAACCUUGGAACUGCCUUUGAUACUGGCUAUCUUGAGUACGGGAGAGGUGUGUGGAACUCCGAGUGUAGAGGUGAAAUUCGUAGAUAUUCGGAAGAACACCAGUGGCGAAGGCGACACACUGGCCCGUUACUGACGCUGAGGCGCGAAAGCGUGGG
rnacentral:rRNA from 1 species